AUAUGUUAAGUAGCCGUUGCUGUAAGCUACUUGUAACAAUAUGUGCUGCUUGGGAUUCUUCGUCUAACAUGCUAACAAACCAAUGGAAGCUCUGAUUUGCUGUACCAUCUUCUGGUUGAUUUUUUUAUUGAAUUGUUGGAGGAGUGUUGUAUCUUUAGUAAUCCAAAUGUCUUCCUUUGUUACAUCUUGUUUUUAUUAUGAUUAAAAUAUAUUCAAGCAAUCUGCUUUUUUGGAAUUAUAUCUCACGAGACAAAAAAAUCCUCUUAAUAGAAGCUUUUUUCACCCAGAAAAUAGCAACGAAGUGUCACAAUUGACCUUCACCUAACCUGCAACUAUUUUUGAAUUUUCACUACGUGUUCCCAUCCUUAAAAACUAGCAAACCUUAAAAUGUAUAGGUUCUCAAAACAACUGGCCUCUCAUACAUGACACUGGAAACUUCGCCUACGAAUAGUAGGUGUCAAGGUGGGGGUGUUCAAAGUCCUAGUGCAUAGACCAUCCAUCCGGCAGGUAUGCACCACCCUUCAGUACUUCAAUGUAGAAUAGAAACAAGCCUACCUAUAAUCAGUCAGUCUGUUUGCUGAGGCGGCAAAACUAAUCCUAGCACCAUAACCGAAAAUAGAUAUCAAUGUCAGAGAAUCUGAACGGAACGAUUCAUAGUGGGUGGGAAACUUGCUUGAAAGGGGCUCCAUUUGGUUGGAAUAGCCCACACAACUGGAUGGUUCACAUUCAGUUCGUUAUUGCACAUAGUAUGGGAUUCUGACUGCAAUUGGGAUUGUUCGGUAUAUCUUUGCGGUAUCUGUGAAAGGAAUAAUACCUUUUUGAAAACGUUGGUUUCUCCAAAAUUUCUGCCAAACAGAAUUUUAGAUUUUCCCGUUUCAAUUGGUGCCAAGAGGUGAAUUUUCCGAUAAUAAAUCUAGUGCAGCUAAAUAUUUUCUAAAGCCCUCCCUUUCUCGUUUAUGCUAGAUUUUUUACAUGGAACCUUCGAAAAUUUUGGCUGGAUCAUCAUACUUUUCUAAACUCCCCCUCCCUUUAAUGACGGUACGUAUUUAAUGGACGAAAUCUUAUGCCAAAGAAAAUUUUCAUUCCAAAAAAAUCUUAGAACAGUAGAACAGAACGCUAUUUGCUAUUUGCGCUAAGGCCCAUGAUUUCCAACAUUAUUCCAGUGCACUGGUGAAGGGAAAAAAAGAAAACGAAAGAAAAGCUAAAUCGCAGCACUCCGUGCUUUAUAAAAAAAAUCAAGUAGACUAAUGCAUAGAGAAAAGAGUUUCAGCUGUCAUUCAACAAUCACCUUUCGGCCCAGACAGAAGCAAAAUUUUCAGUUCUAGCAAAUAUUCAAGAACCAUCAAAAUCUCCGUUUGGAUUCUCAAGCCGACCUUUUACAUCAGAACGAACGCCAACUCAAGAUUCAAUCGUCCGAUUCUUAAGAAAUUUCAACGUGCAAGUUACCUAAAACUUUUAACAUGCCGAAGAAGGUUUGUCGCAGCCCAUGUCCCAUGCCAUUGUGUGGCCCUUGCGGUCCCUGCGGCCCAUGUGGCCCCUGUGGACCGAUCUGUGACCCGUGUUGUCCCCCGGUGUGCGGACCUUACCAGCCAUGCUUCGGGACGUGCUCCCAAAUAGGGUGCGCUCCGUGUGAACCUUGUGGACCCUGUGGACCAUGUUUGCCAUGUGGACCGUGCGCCCCGUGUGGACCCUGCGGACCAUGUCUACCUUGCGGACCGUGUGCACCGUUACCUCCAUGUGUGCCGUGUGGACCAUGUGGACCUUGCGGACCUUGCGGACCAUGUGGACCUUGUGAACCUUGUGGACCUUGUGGACCUUGUGGACCUUGUGGACCUUGUGGACCUUGUGGUCCGUGUGGACCUUGUGGGCCUUGCGGUCCUUGUGUGCCUUGUCGGGACUCUAAUAAUGGAUGUUAAAACUUUUGAAAAUUAGAUGAAACACUUAUUAUCAGAAAAUAAAAUGGCAUCCAAACGGUA